rnacentral:rRNA from 1 species
GACAGAGGGUGCAAACGUUGUUCGGAAUUACUGGACGUAAAGCGUGUGUAGGCGGCUUUGCAAGUCGGAUGUGAAAGCCCUGGGCUCAACCCAGGAAGUGCACUCGAUACUGCAGGGCUUGAGUAUCGGAGAGGUUGGUAGAAUUCUCGGUGUAGAGGUGAAAUUCGUAGAUAUCGAGAGGAAUACCGGCGGCGAAGGCGGCCAACUGGACGAAUACUGACGCUGAGACACGAAAGCGUGGGGAGCAAACAGG